rnacentral:lncRNA from 1 species
AAAUAUUAGCAUCAUUAGUGUUUCUUUUUCCCUAUAGCCUUCACUCGAAGCAAAACUUUCCUAAGCACAAUAUGGCUUAUAACAAUCCUUCCUGCCUUGGUUUGCUCGCUUUGGCACCUGACUUCCUCUGCUGCUGAUAUACUGCCUGCACUGAGGUACUGCUGAUUCAGAAUUACAGAAGCCAAUUGGUGAUUCACUCCUUAGAAGACUCACACAGAGCCUUCCAGUACAAAUAACUUUGCUGGAUGAUGUGACUGCUUCAGGAGAUAGUAUCCUGCAGGUGAAAGGCAGAAGAACAAGCAGGACAGUCUUCAAGGAAAUUUAUGGAUAUGAUACCAUGAGGGAGAAACAUACCCACAUUUAAAAGAAUGUCACUUUUUACCAAGGCUACAUCCUCAUUGCUGGUAGACAAUAUCUCAGUUCCUUGUCACCAUCGAAUCUAUCUGCAAUAACUUACUUGGUCAACAUAAGCCAGUGAUGUGGGUAUAACAUUUUCCUGGAUAUUAGAUUCCUGAAGCCCCUUAUCUUGAAGCUAUAGCUCAGAAAUACUUGUGAAUUCAUCAUUACUCAGAAAGUUUGUCAGGAAGCUGCAGUCGGACUAUGCCACCACCCAUUAGAUUCUGCCUACUUAACAGCAAAAAGAAGUGAAACACUGUCAUCAGGAAAUCUGGCCCACUAUUUUUGAAAAAGAAAGUAAGGUUAAUACCCAUAAUUGUACGUUUAAAAUAUUUUAAGCAAGUGUUA